CCGGCGCUUCCGGGUUGGCGGCGGCUGCGGCGCAGAGGUAGGAGCCGGGCGGCGCGGGGACGCCGGCGGCUGGCCAGGCGGAGCUGGGGGCCUGGGCCGGCCUGGCGCGAGUGCGCCUGCCAGGCCGCUGGGUGGGCCAGUCGCGAUCCAGACCCCGCCGGACGUCCAGAGAGGCCAAAUCCUUCUUGAGAGCCUAAAGAAAAUGGCAGAAAUAUCAUCAGAGCCUUCAGGGCAGCUUAUUGUACACUCAGACACUCACAGUGACACUGUCCUGGCCAGUUUUGAGGACCAGAGGAAGAAAGGCUUUCUCUGUGACAUUACUUUAAUUGUGGAGAAUGUGCAUUUCCGGGCCCACAAAGCCUUACUGGCUGCCAGUAGUGAGUACUUCUCAAUGAUGUUUGCUGAAGAAGGAGAGAUCGGCCAGUCCAUUUAUAUGCUAGAAGGCAUGGUUGCCGACACUUUUGGUAUCCUGCUGGAAUUUAUCUACACAGGUUGUCUCCAGGCCAGUGAGAAAAGUACAGAACAAAUCCUGGCUACUGCCCAGUUCUUAAAAGUCUAUGACCUGGUAAAGGCUUACGCAGACUUUCAAAAUAACCAUAGCUCCCCAAAGCCAGCAACAUUGAACACAGCUGGUGCUCCAGUGGUUGUCAUUUCUAAUAAGAAAAAUGAGCCUCCAAAGCGGAAAAGGGGAAGACCAAGAAAAGUCAACAGUUUACAGGAGGGGAAGUCAGAACUGGCUGCAGAAGAAGAACUACAGCUGAGAGUGAACAAUUCAGUUCAGAAUAGAGCACACUUCAUGGUUAAAGAGCUCGACAGUGGCGUACUGAGCGAACAGAUUCCAGCAAAAGAAUUGGAAGAAUCUGAGCCGGCUUGUGAGCCAGGUAGAGGGGAGGAAAUGCCAGCUGAAAAAGAUGAGAACUGUGAUCCCAAGAGCCAGGAUGGGCAGGACAGCCAGAGUCGGUGUAGCAAGCGGAGGAUUCGGAGGUCUGUCAAACUGAAGGAUUACAAACUCGUUGGGGAUGAAGAUGACCAGGGUUCAGCCAGGAGGGUCUGUGGAAGGAGGAAGCGCCCUGGGGGCCCUGAGGCCCGUUGUAAAGAUUGCGGCAAAGUGUUUAAGUACAACCACUUUUUAGCAAUCCACCAGAGAAGCCACACGGGGGAGCGACCUUUCAAAUGUAACGAGUGUGGCAAAGGCUUCGCGCAGAAGCACUCCCUGCAGGUUCACACCCGGAUGCACACAGGCGAGCGGCCCUACACCUGCACCGUGUGUGGCAAGGCUCUUACCACCAAGCACUCGCUGCUGGAGCACAUGAGUCUGCACUCAGGACAGAAGUCUUUUACCUGUGAUCAGUGUGGAAAAUAUUUCAGCCAGAAAAGACAACUAAAGAGCCAUUACCGAGUUCAUACAGGGAAGUGCUUUAACACAAAUGACUGAAGAAAUGCAGGGACAGCAUAUAUGCACUGACACUUUUUUUAUUGUUGCGACAAGGCCACUCAUUACCGGAAUGCAACCAUUGCCACCGCAAAUUCAUGGAUGUGUCUCAGCUAAAGAAACAUCUACGAACACACACAGGUGAGAAGCCAUUUACGUGUGAAAUCUGUGGCAAAUCUUUCACAGCCAAGAGUUCUCUUCAGACCCACAUCCGAAUCCACAGAGGAGAAAAGCCAUAUUCCUGUGCCGUGUGCGGCAAAUCCUUCUCUGACUCGAGUGCCAAGCGGAGACACUGCAUUCUACACACGGGCAAAAAGCCUUUCUCCUGCCCUGAGUGUAACUUACAGUUUGCGCGCUUAGACAACUUGAAGGCUCACCUGAAAAUCCACAGCAAAGAGAAACACGUGUCCGAUGCCAGCAGCGUUUCCGGCAACAGUAACACCGAAGAGGUCAGGAAUGUCCUCCAGCUGCAGCCCUAUCAGCUCUCUACCUCUGGGGAGCAGGAAAUUCAGCUUCUUGUAACCGAUUCUGUACAUAACAUCAAUUUCAUGCCUGGUCCUAGCCAAGGAAUCAGCAUCGUCACUGCGGAGAGCUCCCAGAACAUGACCGCAGACCAGGCUGCCAAUCUCACGCUGCUCGCGCAGCAGCCAGAGCAGCUGCAGAAUUUGAUACUCUCAGCUCAGCAGGAGCAAACCGAACACAUGCAGAGCCUCAAUAUGAUUGAAAGCCAGAUGGAACCCUCCCAGACGGAGCCAGUGCACGUAAUCACACUCUCCAAGGAAACCCUGGAACAUCUUCACGCCCAUCAAGAGCAAACAGGGCAGCUCCAUUUAGCAGGUGCUUCAGAUCCGGCUCAGCACCUGCAGCUGACCCAGGAGCCACCCGCGCACCAUGUGCCCCAGCCCACGCCGCUGAGCCAGGAGCAGAGCUGACCUGAAAACACGCUCGACUGCUCUCUUGGUCUCUGUAAGCCAUAACGGGAUUGUGUUUGGCUUUGUGCAGCGUUCACUUGCAGGUCCUGACAGAGAUGUGGUAGCUAGCUGAGCUAGCCGAUAGCUUGUUGCUGUUCAUCCAGGAAGCAACAUGUGUGCAUCAUGUUGUCUCUCUGAUAUUGAUUUGGAUUUAGCAUUUCAGUAUUGAAAUUUAUUAUAUCUCGUAAAGACUUGGGUGACUUUCCUUUGGGGGCACUGAAUUAGACUUUUCUGUGAGUAUUAAAUGUUCACAGCCAUAGGUUAUGGUCUUGCUGACCUUUCCAGUUACAUUUUUUAGGACAAAGGAAGUCAUAUGUUGAAUUGGGUAGAAUGUUUGGUUCCCCUUCCUUAUUCCUCUUCGGCCUCACAGUUCCCACAAUAGUUCCCACUGUGGGGGCUGAAUAUGAGCAAUUACAACUUUAGGGACUCUGUCCUUUUAAGAAUUUCAGUCCCUAAGACAUAGUAACCUCUCAAUGUUUAAUCUUCCCUCAGUGGGCUCAUCAUGUCAUGUUUAAGAUAGAUUGAAAGACGUAAAAACUGAAUGUCUAUUUUAACUCAAAAUUCACACACCAAGAAAGCCAAAAGGAUAGGAUUAUUUUUUAAAUUCUGAACUUGACUUUUCUGAGACACAGAUUUACAUGUUUUUUUUAAAAGCAGGGCAUUCCUGUUAUUGCUCAGUGGAAAUGAAUCCGGAUAGUCUCCCUGAGGAAGCAGGUUCGAUCUCUGGCCUUGUUCAGUGGGUUCAGGAUCCAGCAUUGCCGUGAGCUGUGGUGUAGGUCGCACACGUGGCUCAGAUCUAGUGUGGUUGUGGUGUCGGCCAGCAGCUGUAGCUCCGGUUCGACCGUCAGCCUGGGAAUUUCCAUAUACCACAGGUGGGGCCCUACAAAGCAAAAAAAAAAAAAAAAAAAAAGUCUAAUUGAAGUAUGAAAUCGAAUCAAGAUGUUCAUCCCAAAUAAAUUGUCAGUUUUUUGUCAGCAUUGACAUUUGAGCUUCAUGAUGAAAUGAAAACUUUCUUAAUUAUUCUGGAAUAUAAAUUAAUGUAAUUUAUGUUAAAUAUACCAGGUUCUAAUUGAUCUCCAAAAAUGUUGAUCUGUGUAUUAUGUCUGAUAACUUUCUGAAUAGGAACUUAUAAUCUAUUUUUAUUGCAGAGUAGGUUAAAUCUCACAAAAUAGACACAUAAUUUUAAAAAGUAAAUUCCUCUAAUCUUAAACAUAAUUUUGAGCUUCAGAGACUUAGUAGCCCGUGUGUGUGUCUAUAAUUGUGUGAUUUGAAAUAAUCGUCAGAAGAUUAAAUUAUGUUUGGGUUAAGUCUUCCAG